UUUUUUUUGUUUUAAUGUGUGUAAUUUAUGGUAGUCCUUACUGAUGCCUUUUUGUAAUAUUUUGGGCUCUUAAUGAGUUCCAUGGAUUUGUUCAUUAUCUCAGCUAUCACAGUUGUAAGAACAAAAAUUGUUCUACAACAGAUUCCUUGAUUUUGAUGAUAACAAAGGAUGAAACCAAAAAUGGCACCCUAACGAAAAGUUUCUAAGUGUGCAGGAUUCUAAAGAAAGAAGGAAGAAAUAUGAUG
rnacentral:lncRNA from 1 species